rnacentral:rRNA from 1 species
AACGAACGCUGGCGGCAUGCCUAAAACAUGCAAGUCGAACGAGACCUUCGGGUCUUGUGGCGCCCGGGUGCGUAACGCGUGGGAACCUGACCUUAGGUUCAGCAUACCUCCCCGAAAGGGGUGCUAAUGCCGAAUCAUGUCUUCGGCCCAAAAAUUUAUCGCCUUUGGAUGGGCACGAGUUGGAUUAGCUAGUUGGUAUGGUAAAAGCCUACCAAGGCGACGAUCCAUAGCUGGUCUGAGAGGAUGAUCAGCCACACUGGGACUGAGACACGGCCCAGAAUCCUACGGGAGGCAGGAGUGGGGAACAGAGGACCAUGGGGGAAAGGAUGAACGAGCAAGGCCGGGAGAGCGAUGAAGGCAGUAGGGUUGUAAUGCGCUAUUACCCGGGAAGAUAAUGACAGUACCGGGAGAAUAAGCCACGGCUAACUCCGUG